AUUGAACGCUGGCGGCAUGCCUUACACAUGCAAGUCGAACGGCAGCGGGCCUUCGGGUGCCGGCGAGUGGCGAACGGGUGAGUAAUGCAUCGGAACGUGCCAAUUUGAAGUGGGGGGAUAACGUAGCCGAAAGUUACGCUAAUACCGCAUAUUCUGUGAGCAAGGAAAGCAGGGGGACCGCAAGGCCUUUGCGCUCUUUGAGCGGCCGAUGUCAAAGUUAGCUAGUUGGUGAGGGUAAAGGCUUACCAAGGCGACGAUCUGUAGCGGGUCUGAGAGGAUGAUCCGCCACACUGGAACUGAGACACGGUCCAGACUCCUACGGGAGGCAGCAGUGGGGAAUUUUGGGACAAUGGGCGCAAGCCUGAUCCAGUCCAUGCCGCGUGAGUGAAGAA
rnacentral:rRNA from 1 species